rnacentral:misc_RNA from 1 species
GAAAUGCGAUAAUUAAUGUGAAUUGCAGAAUUCAGUGAAUCAUCGAGUCUUUGAACGCACAUUGCGCCCCCUGGUAUUCCGGGGGGCAUGCCUGUCCGAGCGUCAUUGCUGCCCUCAAGCACGGCUUGUGUGUUGGGCCACCGUCCCAGGGACCAGAAGUUCCCGGGACGGGCCCGAAAGGCAGCGGCGGCACCGUGUCUGGUCCUCGAGCGUAUGGGGCUUUGUCACCCGCUCCCGUAGGUCCAGCCGGCGGCCAGCCUCGCAACCAACCAUUCUUUAACCAGGUUGACCUCGGAUCAGGUAGGGAUACCCGCUGAACUUAA